CCUACGGGAGGCAGCAGUGGGGAAUUUUGGACAAUGGGCGCAAGCCUGAUCCAGCCAUGCCGCGUGCGGGAAGAAGGCCUUCGGGUUGUAAACCGCUUUUGUCAGGGAAGAAAAGGUUCUGGUUAAUACCUGGGACUCAUGACGGUACCUGAAGAAUAAGCACCGGCUAACUACGUGCCAGCAGCCGCGGUAAUACGUAGGGUGCAAGCGUUAAUCGGAAUUACUGGGCGUAAAGCGUGCGCAGGCGGUUAUGCAAGACAGAGGUGAAAUCCCCGGGCUCAACCUGGGAACUGCCUUUGUGACUGCAUAGCUAGAGUGCGGCAGAGGGGGAUGGAAUUCCGCGUGUAGCAGUGAAAUGCGUAGAUAUGCGGAGGAACACCGAUGGCGAAGGCAAUCCCCUGGGCCUGCACUGACGCUCAUGCACGAAAGCGUGGGGAGCAAACAGGAUUAGAUACCCUGGUAGUCCACGCCCUAAACGAUGUCAACUGGUUGUUGGGAGGGUUUCUUCUCAGUAACGUAGCUAACGCGUGAAGUUGACCGCCUGGGGAGGUACGGCCGCGAGUAGAACGUACGAAGAAGUAGACGGCGUGAGAGUGCCGAGGACGACGACGAGGGAGGAGG
rnacentral:rRNA from 1 species